rnacentral:rRNA from 1 species
GACGAACGCUGGCGGCGUGCCUAAUACAUGCAAGUCGAACGCUUCUUUCCUCCCGAGUGCUUGCACUCAAUUGGAAAGAGGAGUGGCGGACGGGUGAGUAACACGUGGGUAACCUACCCAUCAGAGGGGGAUAACACUUGGAAACAGGUGCUAAUACCGCAUAACAACAAAAGCCGCAUGGUUUUUGUUUGAAAGAUGGCUUUGGCUAUCACUCUGGGAUGGACCUGCGGUGCAUUAGCUAGUUGGUAAGGUAACGGCUUACCAAGGCAAUGAUGCAUAGCCGAGUUGAGAGACUGAUCGGCCACAUUGGGACUGAGACACGGCCCAA